rnacentral:rRNA from 1 species
UACGUAGGGUGCAAGCGUUAAUCGGAAUUACUGGGCGUAAAGGGCGCGUAGGCGGCGCAACAAGUCACUUGUGAAAUCUCCGGGCUUAACCCGGAGCGGUCAAGUGAUACUGUCGUGCUAGAGUGCGGAAGGGGCUACUGGAAUUCUCGGUGUAGCGGUGAAAUGCGUAGAUAUCGAGAGGAACACCUGCGGCGAAGGCGGGUAGCUGGGCCGACACUGACGCUGAUGCGCGAAAGCUAGGGUAGCAAACGGG